rnacentral:rRNA from 1 species
AGCGAACGCUGGCGGCAGGCCUAACACAUGCAAGUCGAACGAACCUUUCGGGGUUAGUGGCGGACGGGUGAGUAACACGUGGGAACGUGCCUUUAGGUUCGGUAUCACUCAGGGAAACUUGUGUUAAUACCGAUUGUGCCCUUCGGGGGUAGGAUUUAUCGCCUUUGGAGCGGCCCGUGUCUGAUUCGCUGGUUGGUUGAGGUAUCGCCUCACCAAGGCGACGAUCAGUAGCUGGUCGGAGAGGAUGAUCAGCCACAUUGGAACUGAGACACGGCCCAAACUCCUACGGGAGGCAGCAGUAGGGAAUCUUGCGCAAUGGGCGAAAGCCUGACGCAGCCAUGCCGGGUGAAUGAUGAAGGUCUUAGGAUUGUAAAAUUCUUUCACCGGGGACGAUAAUGACGGUACCCGGAGAAGAAGCCCCGGCUAACUUCGUG